UAGGAGAAUAUGGGAUUCUGGCAGCGCAGAAUCACAGCUGUGGUUUGGUCAACUUCAAGUUUGUGUGCAGAGUGAUACUGUUUAGAAGACUUGAGGCUGCUAAAUCAAAAUUCCUUGGAGUUAUAAUUGAUACUACUCUGCAAUGUCUUAUUCUGAAUACCAAUAUGAGGACAAGAGUGGAGAACAAAGGAGAAUUUUGAAAGCCAACAACAGAAAAUUCAACACUUC